AUGAUUAAUAAAGCAAAGAGAAUCAAAUGUUCAAAGAGGAUCCAAUUUUUACUGCUCCAGCUUCAGAGAAGGCACCAUGAGUACUAAAAUGCUUCAUGUUGUGACAUGUAUUGUUUUGCUGACAGUGGCUUGGGGGCUACCAUUUUCCUCUCAAGAAGAAGCCAAUGAAUUUUUAGGACUUAAGAGGCUGCCCUACCCAGCCAAUUGGCAUCCAGACACAGUGUCUGAACAGAUGAGUGAAUACUGGGCAGCAUUGAAGAAAUCAGCACAGUAUUACAUGGACAGGAUCUUUUAAUUGUACUGACAUGGCCAGGGACUACAUUAGCUCUUACAUGGUUAUGUUACAGCAAUAUGGAGGCCAUUAGACUUGAUCCGUGACUCCCAAAUGUAUAUAUCUACUCCCUCCAUGGUGUUGAUCAACUUGAUUCUUCCUGGAAUAUCUGCGACAGAGACAAGCACAAGGAUACAACAUAAAUGUCUUUAUCCUGUCCUGGAAUUGAUGAGGGCACAUCCUGUGAGGAAAAUGUCCAGGCCUUCAGGCCGCAGUCCUAUACUAAAGAAAUUACUUUUAAGUUGUCACACAUAGGAUUACAUAUUCCAGGUCUUGCAUGGGAAAUCUACCCAUUGUUACAAGUGAAUCAAAACCAGCUAUGUAUCUUUUGAAUGUGAGGAAUGUCCUUGUGAAUAUAAUAUUGAUUUUGGAAUCUUGUUCUUGAACUGGAUUAUUCUUAGGGAUUUCUCACAAAUUAUAAUUCAACUUGAAGGUUGUCUAUAUGCUAUGCAGAAGCAAUAUGAGAGUGUCAUGUUUUAAAAGCACUGCUGCUUGCUUCUGCAUUGUUUAAUCCCAAAGAGAUUGAAGGAUGUAUUCAACAACUUCUUUACCUGUAAAUUUAUUUAUAGUUCCUUCACUUUUCUGAAUUUCAUAAAGAUCCAGUAACUUAUAUAUUACAUUGCCUGAGCAGAUGCCUGUAAUCCAAAGCAAGAAGGCAAUUGUGUAUUCAAAGCACAUUCAUUCAUCACCAUUCAGUCUUGACCUUAUCUGUUCUUGGUUUACCAUAUAACUUUCUUAAGUACCCCAUUCCAACUUCAUUCACCUUACUUUUAUGCUUCUCCUGACAGACCCAAUUUUCAUUUCCAUAUAACAAAGUGAACAAAAAUAUACUCUUACAGACAGCCAUUUUUGCUUCUUUCAACAACCAUUAAUUCCUUGCUACAGGCCAGAUAUUACUUAACAUUGUAGGAGAGGAGCUGUAUUAGACCAUGGUGGCAAAAAAAAAACAGGAUUCUGGUAGCACAGUUUAUGACUAGUACAUUUUUAAAGACAUAAACCUCUGUGAGUUGCAGCCUACAAAAUCUUAUGUCUUUAAAAAAAUAUAUGUCAGUCAGAAAAUGUGCUACUGUACUCUUGUGCCCCCCCUUUUCUACCAGCAUUCACUUGUCUCAAUAUUUCUUCAUCUAUUUUCCCAUCUUUAGUGAACAUUCUGCCAAGGUACAUAAAUUUAUCUACUUUUUCUAGUUUUCACCAUGUAUGUUUAAAUUGUUCACAUGUAUUUCCUCUGCCUUGGUCUUUGAUAAAUUAAUGUUUAGACCCUUGUUUAUUUAUGUAUUAGAUUUAUAUCCUGUCUUUGUUUUGUACGACUCAAGGUGGUGUACAUAAUGCUCCUGCCUUCUGUUUCUCCACAACAACACAUUGUCAGGUGGAUUGGGCUGAGAAAGAGUGACUGGCCCAGCCAGUAACCGAGCUGGCUGCAUUUUAUUCACAAUUGCUGCUAUUCACUUGGGCUCUCAGUGAACAACUUGGCAUCAUUUGCAUACAAAGUACAUGUACAUUCAUGUUCUCAAUCAACCAAACUCUAACAUCUCCAAAAUCAUUCUUGUACAUUUGUAAGUUUCUUAAAUAGUCAAGGAGAUAUCAC